AUGCGCGCGGGGACCCGUGAGCCCUUGCGAGCGGCUCGACCAGGGCUCCCCUGACGCCGGCCCCGGUGCCUAAAGGGAAGGUUCACGUUCGCUGCGACUUGACACUUGCUUUGAAGGGAAGACCUUGAAGGUUUUUCUUCCCUGCUCCUAAAACGAAGGGCCUAGAAGUAUUAAAAACCCAUGGGCAAUGAGCAACCACUAGUGCCUAGAUUGUGGUCCUUAAAUGACAUUUCCCAUUUGAAGGAACCAGGAUUUCUUGGACGGCUGAGUCCAAGUCUGGGACAGUACCUGUACAAGAUGAGGCUGGAACAUCCUACUGAGCCAAAAACUAUGAUGUGAUCCAAGACAG